UCUCCCUCGCCUCGUGAGGACACAGGGAGAAGACCUUCGUCUGUAGCUGGGAAGAGGCCUCACCAGGACCCGACGGUGCCGGCUCCCUGAUCUCAGGCCUCCAGCCUCCAGGGCCGAGAGAAAUAAACUUCUGUCGUGGAUAAGCCCCGCAAGUGUGCGGUCUCUGUUACAGCAGUAAGACACGGGGUUAGAGUGUUACUCCCCGUCUUGGAGAGGACGCCUUUGUAACUUUCAAGAACACAGUGAAACCUGUUUCUUAGCCAUCCGCUCCACCCGUCCCAACCUUGUGGUGUGAACUCUCCCUCCCCGCCGGUCACUAUGUCCCUUCAGACGUCUGAUCGGAGACUUUCACCUUCCGCUCCAUGACAUGGUCAAGACUUCCUCUCUGGUUGAUAGUGCUUCUAACCAGGCCCAGGGACCUGAGGUGCACACACGGCGGGUUUCCACGCGGCUUUCCAUCGCACAAGCGCGCAGAGAAUCCCUCCGUCGAGGCAGGAGGCUGUGCACCCCUCCCGGGGGCCCUCUGCACCCGCAGCACCAGGGCCCCGCAGCCAUCAGAGCCUGCGCCCCUCAGCCUCCCCACACAUCCUAACGAGCGCCCGCGGCAACGGGGCCGCCCCGUCCCUCUCUCCGCGGCUCGCUUCAGCGGGAGCCGGACGGAACACCGUGGACCUGGCGGCCCUCACGUUUCAAGACAAAUCAAGCCGCCGACCGGAAGGUAAUUCAGUCAAAAGCCAUGAAGAGUCACAGGUAAAAUACAGGGCGGCCAGUUAACUUUGAUCUUCAGAUAAACAGUGGAUAAUUUGGGAUAUAAGUCUAUAAGUCUAUGCAAUAUUGGGGGCAUACUUAUACUGCAAAAUUAUUCAUUGUUUAUCUGAAACUCAAAUUUAACUGAGCAGCCUCUAUUUUUACAUGUUAAAUCUGGCAACCCCAAAAGGAAGCUGAGGACCCCACCAGUCAGGAGCGACCAGCAGCUGAGCCUGCCCCCCCGGGCUCCCCACCUCCCCUGGGCCCCAUGGGUGAUGCGGUGGGGAUGGUAACAGUACGAGGGCAGGGGCUGAGCACGGAGCCUCCCCCGGCGGGUGGGACAGAUGUCCCUGAGGUCAUCACAGCGAAUCCUCAAGUGCCCGGCCGGAAGAAUUGGACUUCUUUUUCAAAACACCCUAACGGGCUUCCCUGGUAGCACAGUGGUUGAGAAUCCGCCUGCCAAUGCAGGGGAAAACGGGUUCGAGCCCUGGUCCGGGAAGAUCCCACGUGCCCCAGAGCAACUAAGCCCGUGCGCCACAACUACUGAGCCUGUGCUCUAGACCCCGCGUGCCACAACUACUGAAGCCCGCGCGCCUAGAGCCCGUGCUCCGCAACAAGAGAAGCCGCCGCAGUGAGAAGCCCGCGCACCGCAACGAAGAGUAGCCCCCGCUCGCCGCCACUAGAGAAAGCCCGUGCAAGGCAACAGAGACCCAACGCAACCAAAUAAAUAAAUUAAAUUAAAAAAAAAACCAAACACCCUAACUGGCACCCUUGGGGUGGGCCUGGUCCCAGGGAACAGGAAAUGCCUUCACUAGGCUCCUGCCUGCAGGUUUCUGAGACAGGAGCCCUGGUUUGGGUCCAAACAGUGGGUGGGAAACUCCCCCUAGAGGUGUGAUGUGGGGCUGCAAGCUGAGGCUGGUUCCUCACCUUCCAGGCCCCUCAGCCCCCGGCACCGAGGUGACAGAGCUGUCUUCCUGGUCCAGAGGUUGGGACAAGGCCCGAGGAUGGCCGUGGGCGAGCAGGAAC